rnacentral:rRNA from 1 species
UGGGGAAUAUUGCACAAUGGGCGAAAGCCUGAUGCAGCAACGCCGCGUGAGUGAUGAAGGCCUUCGGGUUGUAAAGCUCUGUCUUUUGGGACGAUAAUGACGGUACCAAAGGAGGAAGCCACGGCUAACUACGCGCCAGCAGCCGCGGUAAUACGUAGGUGGCAAGCGUUGUCCGGAUUUACUGGGCGUAAAGGAUGCGUAGGCGGAUUUUUAAGUGAGAUGUGAAAACCCUAAGCUUAACUUGGGGACUGCAUUUCAUACUGGAAAUCUAGAGUGCGGGAGAGGAGAAUGGAAUUCCUAGUGUAGCGGUGAAAUGCGUAGAGAUUAGGAAGAACACCAGUGGCGAAGGCGAUUCUCUGGACCGUAACUGACGCUGAGGCAUGAAAGCGUGGGUAGCAAACAGGAUUAGAUACCCUGGUAGUCCACGCCGUAAACGAUGAGUACUAGGUGUAGGAGGUAUCGGCCCCUUCUGUGCCGCAGUUAACACAAUAAGUACUCCGCCUGGGAAGUACGAUCGCAAGAUUAAAACUCAAAUGAAUUGACGGGGUCAUAGCUGUUUCCU